rnacentral:snRNA from 1 species
GUGCAUUGUCAGACACCCAAUUUGACUGAACUGAUCUAGAGAAGAUUAGCACGGCCCUUGUUCAAGUAUGCCAUUUAUAAAUUGAGAAACUUGAAUUGAUUGU